CCGCCGCCUCAGAACCUGAUGCCGCCGCCGCUUCAGCACCUGGUGCCCUCGCCGCUGAGGUUCCUGCCGACGUAGGCUCCUUCGGCCGUCCGUCCUCUCGUACUUGGAGGCUGCAGACUAGCAGAUCUCCAGAUGGAUGGAGUGGUCGCAUGCGCUCCAUUCGUUCAUCCGCCAGUUAUUCGCUUCACCUCCCCAGGACACAUGACAGAGUCCAUUUCAUCCUUUGUGAGAAGAGUGGAGGUAGGUAUAUUUUGCUAAACAAUAUUCGUCCUUAUCAUUUAUUGUCGUGCUUCUAAACCAUUUCAUCUUUGCCCUGUUUCUGUAUCUGUAACCAUUUCACCACUGCCAUGUAACAUGAAAUUUAUUCUUUACUUGUCUACAUCCCUGUUAUAAUAUCCGUCUUUUAUUUCUUAUUCAUGGCAUGAUUGUAAUUUAGCUAGGAUAUAAUGAUUACUAUUGCUGGAUGUUUGGUUUGGUGCUUCCUGAUUGAGUUAGGCUGCCGAGUGCUUCAAGUUAGCUAUGCUUUCUUUUUAAGUCCCGGACUCCCGGUUGCAUCAUGAUUUGUUGUUUUACUAAGAUGCUGAUUAAGACACAUACUUGG